AGCGAAAGCGAAAGCGAAAGCGAAAGCGAAAGUAAAACGAAUCGCUGUGGUUCUCCCGUUCCUCCCCCGUUCGGCGUCGUUUUCGGCUCGCAGCCGGACGUCUACCCCGGCGGCGAAAUCCUCUGGGCCGCCCCCCGGCCCGCCUCCGACUUUUCGGCCGCCGACGCCGCCGAAUUCGCCGCCGGCCUCCGGCGCCGCAGCUCCAAGAUGAGCUUGGCCGUGCUCCGCAUCCGCCCCGGCGCCCUCCGCGUCCCCCACUGGCACUUCAACGCCGACGAGCACGGCUACGUCCUGCAGGCACGCGGUUUUUUUCCCAUUUCCCCUUUUUCUCUCCUCCCUCCUCCCCCCCAUCCUCAUCCUCACCCCCCCCUCGCUCUCAACCUCUCCCCCCCCGCCUUCAAAACCGUUUUCCGUGCGGCGCGUGCGAGAAACCGCCCCCCCACGCACGCGCCCCUUGCACGUGGGGGGGGUGGCGACGUGCGAGCGGCGGCGUUGCAGGGCACGGCGUGGAUCGGCGUCGUCGACGCCGGCGAUGUCACCGGCAACGUCACCGUGGUCACCUACAACGUCACCGCCGGCCACGCCGUCUUCUUCCCCCGCAACGCCGUCCACUGGCUGAAGAACGUGGGCGCCGGCGACUGCGUCGUCGUGCUCUUCUUCGGCACGCACGAGGAGCUGCGCACGCUGGACGCCGACGACGCUUUCUUCGCCACGCCGCGCGAAGUGGCCGCGCGGGCGCUGCAGGUGAUGCCCCCGGGGGGAGGGGGUUGGGUCCUGGAAGGGUGAAAGUGGCGGUGGUUGCGUCCCCCUACCACCUUCCUUGGGCUCUCUAUUAUGUUUUAUAUGGAGGUUGGGUCCUGGAAGGUGCGAGGGGCGGUGGUUGUGUCCCCCUAGCACCUUCCUGGGGCUCCCUACAAUGUUUCAUAGGGAGGUUGGGUCCUGGAAGGGUGAAAGUGGCGGUGGUUGGGUCCCUUUACGACCUUCCUUGGGCUCCCUAUUAUGUUUUAUAUGGAGGUUGGGUCCUGGAAGGUGCGAGGGGCGGUGGUUGCAUCCCCCUAGCACCUUCCUGGGGCUCUCUACAAUGUUUCAUAGGGAGGUUGGGUCCUGGAAGGUGCAAGGUGCGGUGGUUGCGUCCCCCUACCACCUUCCUUGGGCUCCCUGUUAUGUUUUAUAUGGAGGUUGGGUCCUGGAAGGUGCAAGGGGUGGUGGUUGGGUCCUGGAAGGUGCGAGGCGCGGUGGUUGCAUCCCCCUAGCACCUUCCUUGGGCUCCCUACAUGUUCUAUAUGGAGGUUGGGUCCUGGAAGCUAAAACGCUCAAUGCUUGGCUCCCCUCCCAUUCUCUCUUGGGUUUUCAGGUCCUGGCAGGUUCAACUCUUGCUGUUUGCUCUCCCUCCCAUUUUCCCUCGGGUUUUCAGGUCCUGGCAGGUUCAACUCUUGGUCUUUGCCCUCCCUCCCAUUCUCCCUCGGUUUUUUGGGUCCUGGCAGGUUCAACGCUCGGUGUUUGCCCUCCCUCCCAUUUUCGCUCGGGUUUUUGGGUCCUGGCAGGUUCAACGCUCGUUAUUUGGUUCCCCUCCCAUUUUCCCUUGGGUUUUCGGGUCCUGGCAGGUUCAACUCUUGCCGGUUGGCUCCCCUCCCAUUUUCCCUCGGGUUUUCGGGUCCUGGCAGGUUCAACACUUGCCAGUUGGCUCCCCUCCCAUUCUCCCUUGGGUUUUCGGGUCCUGGCAGGUUCCACUCUUGGUGUUUGCCCUCCCUCCCAUUCUCGCUCGGGUUUUUGGGUCCUGGCAGGUGCAACUCUUGCCAAUUGGCUCCCUUACCAUUUUCCCUUGUGUUUUUGGGUCCUGGAAGAUUCAAUGCUUGCCAGUUGGCUCCCCUCCCAUUUUCCCUCGGGUUUUUGGGUCCUGGCAGGUUCAAUGCUCGGUGUUUGCCCUCCCUCCCAUUUUCCCUCGGGUUUUCAGGUCCUGGCAGGUUCAACGCUCGGUGUUUGUCUUCCUUCCCAUUUUCUGUUGCGUUUUUGGGUCCUGGCAGGUUCAACGCUCGGUGUUUGCCCUCCCUCCUAUUUUCCCUCGGGUUUUUGGGUCCUGGCAGGUUCAACGCUCGGUGUUNCCAUUGACUCUAAUGACCCCCAUUCAUUCUAUUGA
ensembl:lncRNA